UGGGGAAUUUUGGACAAUGGGGGAAACCCUGAUCCAGCCAUCCCGCGUGUGCGAUGAAGGCCUUCGGGUUGUAAAGCACUUUUGGCAGGAAAGAAACGUCAUGGGUUAAUACCCCGUGAAACUGACGGUACCUGCAGAAUAAGCACCGGCUAACUACGUGCCAGCAGCCGCGGUAAUACGUAGGGUGCAAGCGUUAAUCGGAAUUACUGGGCGUAAAGCGUGCGCAGGCGGUUCGGAAAGAAAGAUGUGAAAUCCCAGAGCUCAACUUUGGAACUGAAUUUUUAACUACCGGGAUAGAGUGUGUCAGAGGGAGGUGGAAUUCCGCGUGUAGCAGUGAAAUGCGUAGAUAUGCGGAGGAACACCGAUGGCGAAGGCAGCCUCCUGGGAUAACACUGACGCUCAUGCACGAAAGCGUGGGGAGCAAACAGG
rnacentral:rRNA from 1 species